AGGAAGAGCUUGCUGCUUUGCUGACGAGUGGCGGACGGGUGAGUAAUGUCUGGGAAACUGCCUGAUGGAGGGGGAUAACUACUGGAAACGGUAGCUAAUACCGCAUAACGUCGCAAGACCAAAGAGGGGGACCUUCGGGCCUCUUGCCAUCGGAUGUGCCCAGAUGGGAUUAGCUAGUAGGUGGGGUAACGGCUCACCUAGGCGACGAUCCCUAGCUGGUCUGAGAGGAUGACCAGCCACACUGGAACUGAGACACGGUCCAGACUCCUACGGGAGGCAGCAGUGGGGAAUAUUGCACAAUGGGCGCAAGCCUGAUGCAGCCAUGCCGCGUGUAUGAAGAAGGCCUUCGGGUUGUAAAGUACUUUCAGCGGGGAGGAAGGGAGUAAAGUUAAUACCUUUGCUCAUUGACGUUACCCGCAGAAGAAGCACCGGCUAACUCCGUGCCAGCAGCCGCGGUAAUACGGAGGGUGCAAGCGUUAAUCGGAAUUACUGGGCGUAAAGCGCACGCAGGCGGUUUGUUAAGUCAGAUGUGAAAUCCCCGGGCUCAACCUGGGAACUGCAUCUGAUACUGGCAAGCUUGAAUCUCGUAGAGGGCGGUAGAAUUCCAGGUGUAGCGGUGAAAUGCGUAGAGAUCUGGAGGAAUACGGGUGGCGAACGCGCCCCCCUGGACGAAAACUGACGCUCAAGUGCGAAAGCGUGGCGAGCAAACACGAGUAGAUUACCCGGUAGUCCACGCCGUAAACUAUGGCGACCUCGAGGUUGGGCCCAUGAAGCCAGGCUUCCCGAGGAACGCGGUAAAUCCACGCCUGG
rnacentral:rRNA from 1 species